rnacentral:rRNA from 1 species
AGCUCCAAUAGCGUAUAUUAAAGUUGUUGCAGUUAAAAAGCUCGUAGUCGAACUUUGGGUGAGGGCUGGCGGUCGGUCUCUAUGGCUGUACUGCUGGGCCGAGCCUUUUUCCUGCGGACCGGCUCCGGCCGACUUUGCAGGGUUUUACUUUGAAGAAAUUAGAGUGUUUAAGGCAAGCAUGUGCUUGAAUACAUUAGCAUGGAAUAAUAGAAUAGGACUUUGGUUUUAUUUCGUUGGUUUUAAGAACCAAAGUAAUGAUUAAUAGGGACAGUUGGGGGCAUUUGUAUUUGCUAGUCAGAGGUGAAAUUCUUGGAUUUAGCAAAGACAAACUACUGCGAAAGCAUUUGCCAAGGAUGUUUUCAUUG